UACGUAGGCAGCGAGCGUUGUUCGGAGUUACUGGGCGUAAAGGGUGUGUAGGCGGUUUCUUAAGUUUGGUGUGAAAUCUCCCGGCUUAACUGGGAGGGUGCGCCGAAUACUGAGAGGCUCGAGUGCGGGAGAGGAGAGUGGAAUUCCUGGUGUAGCGGUGAAAUGCGUAGAUAUCAGGAGGAACACCGGUGGUGUAGACGGCUCUCUGGACCGUAACUGACGCUGAGACACGAAAGCGUGGGUAGCAAACAGG
rnacentral:rRNA from 1 species